rnacentral:rRNA from 1 species
GAUUAAGUGUUGUAGGGGCAUUUGGUGGAUGCCU